UGGACAGAUUAUUGUAUUCGACUGUAUUCACGGCGUGAAACAGGAGAUUACACUAUUUUUUAAACAGAAAGUGAAUCAAUUAACAUAAUAAACUCCU
rnacentral:pre_miRNA from 1 species